CGAGUCGCGGAGGCGCCGCGCGUACACGUGGCAAGCAACCGCUUGGCAACGAGCAACGACCUCCUCCUGUACAAGAACGUAUCGCAAAGCUUCGUGGAUGAGAGUCACGGCAAAGCGCAUUUGUCGAGCGGAAUGUCCGCUUCGUCGCGCCGCGACGACGGUAGCGACGAACGACGACGGCGACAACGAUGACAACGGGACGAGGAGUGAAGAAAGGAGCGUAACGGAGAGACAGAAACAACCGGAAACGGACUUUGCGAAGGCAGAAGAAGAAAAUGCCCCGGAAAAAAAGACCGCGUCAAGGCCCUCAGGCAGAUUCGCGACGCGACUUAAGUCGUGUCACACACCACCUGUCGCGCGACUAAGGCAGGUUUUCAGUCGGAGAAAUGAGUAUUUUCGAUCUUCGAUGUCGAUAAAACACCUCGCAGUUCGAUCGUGCUCACGUCCUCCCAGGAAUCUCGCCCGAUCUCAUUGUUCGUGGGCAGCAGGGCAGAAAGCGGCGCUUCCGGUUUCAGGUUGAGUUGCACGACGGUCAGACGAACGAACAGACAGGCCUGGCUGCAUCCUGGCUCCCCAGCACCCAGCGUGGUACCAGCGGAAAAUUGUCGUAGCAACGGGAAGUGGAUAAGUCAGCGCGGAACCGGAAGUCACCGUGGGAUCGCUCGUGGAAGCCUGAAAACACUGAGCGAAACCUUCGCGCUCCUGGGAACCGCCGAUUAGCUACACGCGCGCGCGUAUAUUUUUCGCCUGCCUCUUGUCUGUGUAAGACGUCGUCACGACACACGCAUACGUAAACGCAUGUCGAAGAUACAGUACGCGACAUAAGCGUUAGGCGCUGUAUACCAAGGUGGGUCGAUGACUCAUGCUAAUAAUUGUUACAUUGUGGAAAAUGUCGGCUUCGUAACUAUUGAGAAGAUGCCUACGAAGAGAAGCGGACAAUGCCUACGAACUUCUCCGGUCUCUGGCCUUCGCCGCUGAUAAACUUAAUGAAGUUGUCAAAGGUACCGACACGAACUUGAUCCACAUCCAGAAAUCGUAGGCGAUACUGACGUCACGCUGACCAACGACUUCCUCGACUCGGUCUCCUUGAAAAAUAGAUAUGGGAACUUCUACGCCGCUAGUUUUGACACCGACGUUUACCGUUAUUCGCACCGUGAGAACGCCGUGAUGUUUCAUAUGUCACAGAGUACGAGAAGGAUGAUAAAUAUAUGUAUCGAAAAUAACAGUCGAAAAUAGCAUCGCGAUAAUGCGAUAUAUAUUUGGCGAAUGAAUCAGAAAACGUAUAGAGUUUAAGCCGAUAAUUUAUUAAAUCAAGAAGGGAAGAGUAAAACAUCUAUGAUUUUAUUUCUACAUCGACGAGCUUUACAAGAUUUAAGUGAAGUGAAACAAAUUGUGGAAAAUUUAUUACUGUUUCGCAUAUUUAUAUAUUUUUGUAAACUUGUGUAUUUUUCGAAGUAUCGAUCACACGGUAAAUCAAAUUUUUUUUUAUACUCUCUCAACUGCCAAAUUCAAUUUCUCUCUGCUAAUGCGUGUAUGUUGUUUGCAGUUUGUUUUACAAACUAUCAAUCUUCAAUUACUGUCAUUGCGAAUACUAAUAUUGACCUAUGAUGAAAAUCAGAAUUUCGCAACAAAUAUAUCGAUCACGACGACGGUUUUGGUGGCUCAUUCGCGUCCGCAAAAUGACGCUAAAAGCGUUCAUUUCUCACGUUAGUGCAAACAUAGCUACCGACUGAAAUAUGUGGCGGUAAUCCGAUACUGUAUUUGUUCGAAUGUUAAUGAUGUGAUUCUGAAAAAUAACAGCUCAGCAUCGGCUACAUCUUUUCGCUAAGUAUAUAGCGAAUGUCGCUAUAUACUUUAUAUCAUAUGUAUAGUAUAUGUUUUUCAUCGCCCUGCUGAAACUUACAAGUUUUUCCCGCCAUCUGUGGGUUAUAAAUACAUUAAUAAGAAAAUAUUGCGCUUGAUAUUCUAGUAGAAUAAUCCGAUUUAAACCGGUUGACUACCGGUAGCCGUAACUCUGUUGCGUUUCAUUGAGUAAUCGAUGACCAGAACUUUUACGUAAUCCGAUAUGCACAAAAGCAAUGUUUAUUACAUUUGCACGAAUACCGAGCGUAAUAUCGCGUAUUGCUGUUUUAUAAACAGAGAUUAUUUCAGUAUACGUACGUACGAAGCCGGUAAUACGUAAUUAUUAAGGCUUAUACUCGUCUUGGCAUUGAAUGACUUCACACGGUAAAACUUCCGGGAAACUAUUAUUUUUAGUUUGGUCUAUCUAAUCACACUGCGUAUUAUAUGGAACGAGGCAGCGAUACAAGACCACGCAACAAACUUUAAC
rnacentral:lncRNA from 1 species